GCCCCGCCUAACAGAAAAGUCUCCGAUUACGAUUACUAUCACUCGGAAAGGGGUGCAGGGACCAGAGGCGGGUCUGAGCCCCGCAGACCAAGCCGCCUUGAACCUGAGGCGCAGGCAAGCCACUGCGCGGGCGCCAACUGCAAGCACAGCCCAACCCGGCGCCACCUUAAGUCAAACAAAGUCAAUCUAGGCAACCUGCAGGGUACAGCCCACAGAAACGAAACCACAACGAGGCCCUCUGAAGAACCUUCUCAGCAGACUUUCUGCCAUUACUGCUUUUCUGAGGUGAUGCAGUUAGUAAAUCCACGAAAGGAAGAUUUAUCAGAGUACCGUGGUGCAAGACAUUGUGGGAGGAAGGUACACAGGUAAACACUACCCCAGGAUCCCUGGUCUUGAGAGCUUUACAUUCCUGCGGGAGAGAACAGCAAUCACCUUCAAAACUUACUUUGAUUUGUUUAUUGAUGCCUCUCAAGUUUUGGUUCUCUCCAAUUGCUACUCUCACCUACUUCUACCAAAAAGAAAUCCUCUAUAGAAAAUGACAAUGACCAAAAUAUAUCCGUGGGAAAUAAUUGACCCUAGUCCUAUCCUCUUCCUACUUUUCCCCUCAUUACAACUGGCAGGUCUGUAAUAAACUUGGCACUUCCAGCUUGGAACCCUGCAACCAUCACUAGAGAAGGUAAUUUCAGCGUGGUAAUACUCAGGUCUGUGGAGACAGGAAGAAUAAUCAGUGAGGCUAACCUGGUCUGUACAUUACAAAUUCCAGAUCACCAGCUCUAUACUGCAAGGUUCUAAUUAAAAAUCUCCUUCCCAAAGGACUCCAGGCCAGGGCCAGGGACAACGGCAAAGACUGUUAGCUGUUCAUCCCUCAACAAUCUCAGCUCCUGUUUGCCACACAGCUGUGUUUCUAAUGUCUACAUUGUCAAUUUUUGGCUCCCAAGUCAGACCCAACCAAAAGACAUUUUUACAUCCAAGACAUAGAAUAUGUAGAAUAUAUUCUAAAGCCCUCCUGUCUCGGCCAAUGGUAACUGAAGCUAGUGAGACCAUGAAAUACUAGGUCUUAGAAGACACACAUUAGGAUUCUCAAAACCUAAUUUUGGAGACAGCCAAGCAAGCUUCCUCAUUACACGGUCUUAAUAAGAAAGCCUUGACUCUCAACCUUGGCUGUUAAUACUGAGAAAUAAUACCUAUCUCUACAAAACCACUAAAGUUAGAUGUGAAAGUACUCAUAGUGUUCCAAGCUCACCUCUCCUUAUACUCUGUCUCCCAUCACAAUAAGACUACAAAGUAUAAUGGGACAUUAUUUCAAAAGGGGAUCUUUUUAACAGACCCUACUUCACUGUUAAAUAUGCCAAUGAUGUGGUGAGUCCAUCUCUGAGUGUCCAGCUAUAUAGCACACAAAAUAAGAUUGCAAAGUGAUCUACCAUCCAACAAUGUUUUUGGUUUUGUUUUGUUUUUUAAUUUUUACGCCAUUCAGUUAUCAUCCUUUUCAGCUCUCGUUAGUAUGGGAAUAUAUAUUAAACAAGCUUUCUAAUUAGUCAGAUUCCAUACAGUGUAAUGGAAAGAUAAGAACUAGUGUAGCCACACUCAAACCUUAAAAGCAUAGACUGAAAAACCAUAGAGUGAAAUCACUGAGGCUGAAGAAGGGUUUAAACCCACAGAGUCAUCCAUUUGGUGGCAUGGGGGCCAAAGAAAAAAUGAGAGACAACUCUGAAGGUCCACUCAGAGCUGAAGAUCUAACUCAGUAGCUGGGGAAAAGUAGAGUACAGCCAGUUUGGACGGUAUUUACUGCACACACGCUGUUUUAGAGGAUUGGAAGAAAACUACAGAGUUCCUAGACAAAGGUUAUAGGACAAAUUACAGGCAAACAGUCAAAUACUCAGAAAACACAAAGAUUUCAGAGAACAAGGAGGCCACACCUAGCGAGGAAGGGUCAGUGGGGAGAACCCUAGGAAACGCUGACAUCUGGACUGGCUCCUGAAACACAGACAGCCAGCAUGCUAGAGAGAAGAUGAAGCUUCCUCACCUAACUGCCAAAGGAACAGAACAGGCAAUGGGACUGGCUAGCUGCAUCACAAAGGAACUGCCAUUGUGGGAGAAGAGCAUGAAAACAAGCUAGAAUCAAGCAUGGGCUUGGAAAAUUAAGAGUCAGAGGAGAAGAAAAGAGACUGCUCUGGGCUUUAGCAGUGAAUAACCUGGCAGAUAGGAGACACUGAAGGCAGCAAGACACCUGAGCGAUUACUGCGACUGUCCAGGUCAAAGGGCCCAUUAGGGUGUGGCAAUAGGACUAGAAAGGAAUGGACUGAUGUAAGAAUUCACCUGCAGAACCCGUUACUAAUCAAAUACGAGACAUUCAAAGGAUAGUCAAGGAAGAUUGGCGUUAGAGCUGGCUGGGGGGUAUGAUAAAGGAAUGAUGAGCAUCCUCUUCUGACAGGCCAACUCUCUUGUCACCUGCAACACCAGGUGACACAUCCAUAGUGGUCAGGAAUGAAGUAGACGUCAAAGCUGAAGACUGACUCUGGAGCACGAGGGCAAGAGUGGAUUUAGUGGAGUAACAUCUAGGAAGGGAGGAAUAAGGCAAGAAGCUAAGCAGGGAUCUGGGGAAGAUAGGGCCUUGGGAAAGAAAACAGAUGACUGUAGGUAUAGCUAAGGGGUACUAGAACUUACCCACAAGACAGCCAAAACUGAAGAGAAAAACAACCAGGGAAUGAAAAUGCAAUAAAGAAGGGACAUACCCAAGGAGGAAUAGAGACGGACAGCAUCAAAUGCUGCAAAAGGGAUGUAAGGAAGCCAGUAUGCCAGGGGUGGAUUAGAGCAACGGGUCCAAACCAGCAGAAGCUAGGUUACCCGGAUGAACAGAGAAGGGGUGAUGGAGACAUGUGAAUGGAGCCAGGAGAAGAGAUUCUGAGUAGGGCCCAGUCAAGCCUGAUGUCUAUGCUCACGUUUCAGCUAGUCUGAGUUGGCACAGGUAGGAAGGGAAAGGUGAAUGAAUAGCUCAAGGUUGAGCCAUCAGCCUUAGCCAAGAGGAGGCACACCCUUGGUCAGGGAAAGGAUGAAGGUGGUCUGAAUAAAACAAAAGGCCCCAGAGUCUCACCCUCAGUCUUACUUAUAGUUAACUUAGAAUUAGAAUCUCCAAGACCCUAACCAGUUGCAGGAAAAUGUGCAUGUCCAUGAGAGUGUUAAAAGAGAGUUUUCAGCGUGUUUAACCAGCUUUCUGUAGUAACAGAUUGUGCAAUUUUAAUUUAUCCCAUUUUUUUUCUCAUCUAAAAACUGCCAUUGCUCACCCUGGUAGGAGGCUAACUCUGAUAAAUAGUUGUGCCUGCCUUCUCACUGCAGUCAGAUUCCAGGAUGAAAUACAGACAGACAUGGCUGGCCUUGCCAUGCCAUGAGCUACAGGAACAAAACAACUGAAGCCAAUACAAGCUGCACCUGUGAUAAAAGAUACAACCAGAUUCCUGGAGUGAACUGUAGACAGAAGCAAUUAGAAGCAACAGGGCACGGUAGAAGGACAGAACAUUUGGUGCAUAGAUUCAUCCUAAUAUCCAAGUGCCAUCAAGAAACUUCGUAAUUUUGUGUAUUGGCUUCUGACUUUCUCAGGGCCUUGUGGUCCUUGUCCAUAAACCAAACAGGUUGGAAUCUAUAGUUGUAAAAAUUUCCAUAUAUCCUAAAAUAAUUCAUCUGUGAUAUGAAUGCCCCAAGCUUGGGUUUCAUUUGUUAUAACUUUACUCUCAAUUACCAGUCUUCACCUACCAUUGUAUGUGAAUGGUUAUUGUGGUGGUUUAAAUGAGAACAGCCUCAAUAGGCUCAUAGAUUUGAAUGCUUGGUCCUCAGCUGGUAGAACUGCUUGGGAAGGAUUAUGAGGUGUGGCUUGCUGGAAGGAGUAUGACACUAGAGGCAGGCUUUCAAAAACCCAAGCCACUCUAGUUACAUCUAUCUCUAUGCCUUGUGCUUGUGGAUCAGAUGUGAGCUCCAGCUACUGUUCCAGUGCCCUGCCUGCCUACCUGCUGCCGCGUUCCCUCCCACCAUGAUGGUUAUGGAUUCACCCUCUAGAACUGGACUAUGAAGAGAAAAGAUGAAGAAACCGCAUUAAACAGGCACCUGGAAAGAGGGGAGUGUGACAGGGGCCUUACCAUGGAGCCAGGCUUUGUCUCCUAACAGCCAGAGCUAACCCAUCCAUUCUACCAGCCCUGCCCACCUCACCACCGCACCAACACUUUCUCCUCUGUUGACAGGCACACUCUUCCAAGGGUAGAAGUGUGGGAGAUGCAAACACCAGCAAGCAGUGAUGGGUCCGCAGCAGAGACAGCGAGAGCUACAGGAGGCACCACUUCAAGUGGAUCUACACCCAGAUUGGGCCUUUCUGCUGGGAAAGAGCUAAGCAGAGUGUGUGUGCAUGCCUUCCUGACACAACUACUCUGUUUCUAUGCGAUUUUAAUGUCUUUUCUAACCAAGUCUCUGUCAACGUGUCACACUAACAUGAGAAUUUGAGUUUCUGUUUAUUAACAAGAAGUAGGAGGUACUAUCUCUUGCUCUUUGAAAACAGACCCAAUUGCAGGGACAGGGAACGUAUGUAGCCCUGGCAUGUUAGCAUGUGCAAUGUCUUUAGGAUGCAGUCAUUUCUUCCUGCACCUGAGCGUCUGAUGAUUUCUCAGUGAGAUAGCACAGCCUCCUCCCACAGGACCUUGAUAUGCAGACACUCACUGCGUCCAGGCUCUAAAUAAUUCAAGGAUGGCUCUGUCACUCAGGAGCACCAAGGCCCACCAGCUGCUUGUGUGGUGGGAGCCAGGCUCUAUGUUUAAAUACUAUCAGGUACCUCUGAGACCACUUCUAGAAAAUACUAUAAUCCUCUUUAUUUUCUCUUACUUUAAGCAACAUAAUUUCCAGUUUGAAAGAGGAUAGGUUCUCAAGUAAAUGAGUAGGGAGAGAGUGGCUUCCUUAAACAAGUAGAUGGUCACGGUAUCCUUCCCGACUCAGGAUUCCGGGAUGACACAGCAGAGCAGCAGACACAGCCUGCCUUCCUCCAGCCUGCCUCGAGCUUUCCAGAUCUGAUCCUGGGAUUCCUUCUCCUCUCAGUCUAUAAUAAUCCAACACCAGCAGAGAAGCAACCAACUAAAUAACAGAGGACUGAUAAUCUUUGUGUCCCUUUCUGCUGAACUUGAACUAGCUCAAAGAAUUGAGACCUAGACUACUACACUGUCCGUUUCCAUCUCCGCAUGCUGAGCAGAGCUGAGAACACAGGUCCCUAACAGACCCUACUGUUCAAAGACCCCUUUGAUCAAUUCUCUAGACUGACCUGACCUUGCCUGCAUUGUUCUUAGGAAGUCCCGAGGGAAAUUGCCUCUUAAAUUACCAUCUACUCACAAAAACAUGAUUCGAAACCAUAACAUUACCUUUCUAUUACUGACAGGGUCUCAAGUAGCAAAGGCUAGCUUAAAGCUCAUUGUGUAGUUGAGGAUGACCCAGAAGUUCUGAUCCUCCUGUUCUCAACUCCAAGUGGUAAGAUUACUGGCAUGAGCAGUCACUUCCAGUUUGUGAUACUGAGGGUCCAGCUUAUGGCUUUGGGCAUGUCAGGAAAGCACUGGUCUACACCCCAGCCUCCCUUUAUACCCUUAUAUAAAAUAUCUUAUAAAAGCUCCAGUAAAGGAUGUGCAGGACCCCGGAACUUGUUUAAACCAGUGGAGACAGGUAAAUGAUCUCAGGACAUGAAAAUAAUACGAAGUUCUUCAAAACUCUAACCCAGAGCCACCACAUGGUACAGAAAUUCCAUGUCUGGGAAAUAACGCAGAGGCUCAAACAUGACGUUUACACAUCCUGCUUAUUGCAACAUUCAACAAAGCGGUCAAGAAAUGGGAUUGAACCCAAUAUAUCACUGUAAGAACAGAUGGAGGAAAUCUGCAAGCAGGGGACCUCAGUUCUAUUCUCAGAGCCUACAUUAAAAGCAAGCAAAGUGGUGGUGCGGACUUGUCAUCCUAGCCCUGGAGAGUUGAGCAAAGUGGUGGUGCG